rnacentral:rRNA from 1 species
GGUGAACGCUGGCGGCAGGCCUAACACAUGCAAGUCGAGCGGCAGCGGGCUGUAGCAAUACAGUGCCGGCGAGCGGCGGACGGGUGAGGAAUACAUCGGAAUCUACCUUGUCGUGGGGGAUAACGUAGGGAAACUUACGCUAAUACCGCAUACGAACUACGGUUGAAAGCGGAGGACCGCAAGGCUUCGCGCGAUUGGAUGAGCCGAUGUCGGAUUAGCUAGUUGGCGGGGUAAUGGCCCACUAAGGCGACGAUCCGUAGCUAGUCUGAGAGGAUGAUCAGCCACACUGGAACUGAGACACGGUCCAGACUCCUACGGGAGGCAGCAGUGGGGAAUAUUGGACAAUGGGCGCAAGCCUGAUCCAGCCAUGCCGCGUGUGUGAAGAAGGCCUCGG